rnacentral:rRNA from 1 species
GACGAACGCUGGCGGCGUGCCUAAUACAUGCAAGUAGAACGCUGAAGGAGGAGCUUGCUCUUCUGGAUGAGUUGCGAACGGGUGAGUAACGCGUAGGUAACCUGCCUGGUAGCGGGGGAUAACUAUUGGAAACGAUAGCUAAUACCGCAUAACAUUUACUAUUGCAUGAUAGUCAAUUAAAAGGUUCAAAUGCACCACUACCAGAUGGACCUGCGUUGUAUUAGCUAGUUGGUGGGGUAACGGCUCACCAAGGCGACGAUACAUAGCCGACCUGAGAGGGGGAUCGGCCACACUGGGACUGAGACAAGGCCCAGACUCCUAAGGGAGGCAGCAGUAGGGAAUCUUCGGCAAUGGACGGAAGUCUGACCGAGCAAAGCCGCGUGAGUGAAGAAGGUUUUCGGAUCGUAAAGCUCGGUUGUAAGAGAAGAACGAGUGUGAGAGUGGAAAGUUCACACUGUGACGGUAUCUUACCAGAAAGGGACGGCUAACUACGUG